rnacentral:rRNA from 1 species
AUGAACGCUGUCGGCGUGCCUAAUACAUGCAAGUCGAGCGAACGGACGAGAAGCUUGCUUCUCUGAUGUUAGCGGCGGACGGGUGAGUAACACGUGGAUAACCUACCUAUAAGACUGGGAUAACUUCGGGAAACCGGAGCUAAUACCGGAUAAUAUUUUGAACCGCAUGGUUCAAAAGUGAAAGACGGUCUUGCUGUCACUUAUAGAUGGAUCCGCGCUGCAUUAGCUAGUUGGUAAGGUAACGGCUUACCAAGGCAACGAUGCAUAGCCGACCUGAGAGGGUGAUCGGCCACACUGGAACUGAGACACGGUCCAGACUCCUACGGGAGGCAGCAGUAGGGAAUCUUCCGCAAUGGGCGAAAGCCUGACGGAGCAACGCCGCGUGAGUGAUGAAGGUCUUCGGAUCGUAAAACUCUGUUAUUAGGGAAGAACAUAUGUGUAAGUAACUGUGCACAUCUUGACGGUACCUAAUCAGAAAGCCACGGCUAACUACGUG